rnacentral:lncRNA from 1 species
UACUCCUUUGCAAUCGUGGGCAUCAAUAUCACCGACCUGGCAUAUAAUCUGCUCGUGAGCGGCGCUCUGAAAACACAUUUCUACAACAUCGCUCCCGAAGCUCCAACACUGUCUCACUUCCAGCAAACAUUCUGCUAUUUGAUGCACGAGUUUCACAAGUUUUGGAUUGAAGAGGACCCCAUGGACAUAAUGGAAUUUAACCGCGUGCGGGAGAAAUUCCGCAAGAGAAUCAUAAAACAGCUGCAGAACCCAGACAUGGCGCUGUGCCCACAUUUCGCUGCCUCUGAAGGUUUAAUCAACAUGUAGUGCCCACACUGGUUUCAAUGGAUACCCCUGAACACUGCCUCAUUGUCAUCUUAGAUCUCUGCUUAGGUGACAGCUCACACACCUAAUGCACAUAAGUGAUUAUAUAUAUAUAUAUAUAUAUAUAUAUAUAUAUAUAUGCAUGCCUUUUGGUACAGUAUUUUCAUCUCUUGGUCAUUAUUCCAAGAUCCCCCCAAAUAUCACCAUUCUGGAGUGUCCGCCCUCCAGCGACUGCUCACAUUGUGGCAUCCUGCAGUGUUGACAUCUGUCCUUGGCACCCAGGUUUGAAGAAAGUUUUCUAUUUUUUUAGAUUUUUUUCUCUCCCCCCCCCCAUCAUUCAAAUAUUAAAAACGUGUGAUAAUUUCUUAGCUGUAAUUUGUACGUAAGAGAGUUAGCUGAAUCUCAUUCCGUGUUCAUAUUUAUUAAAAAAAAAAGUUUCACGAAGACUGCUGCUAGCCUCUCAAGAAGGGCUUGUGCUUGGACCUCACCCGGGUAAUGUAUAAGACUUGAAAGUCAUACAGACGCGUGAGAAGCCAAACUCUUCCUCCACAUAGAACAGCUGCGCUUCGCCAGGAGGUAACAAGGCCAGACGUCAGCUUCAAACCGGAAGCAUCCUCCAGUGACAUCCUGCAGAACUGGUAGCCUAACCUAACCACAGUCGCAACUGGGUCAUAGCCAUCAGGAUAGGAAACUAUCGUGUCCCCAUCACUACAUGGCUUGGAUGUCAAAAUAUGUGUACGAUGCUUGGAGCCCCAGAAAAGAAGCCAUUAUCUUUCCGAGGCUGCGAAAGGUUUCUCGCUACCUGACUCUUGCUGAACCCAUACUUAGUUCUUAGCACUCCCCAGAUCUCAGUAUCCUUGCUUAGGGAUUGAGUGCUGACUGCUUUGUUUCUAUCUUGGGGGUGGGGAGGCAAUAUUUUAAAAUUGUUUGCAAGAAAAAUGUGCUACAACGCAGGAACCUAAGCGAUGAUAUCAUGCACUAUUUCUUGAAAUUAGCGUCCUUAUAUCAGUGGAAGAAGUUGCUGGGAAGGAGAAAAACAAAAUCAUCCUCAAACAACUGAGAAUCAUCUUCUUUCAAAUGUGAUUUAGUUUGGAAUUAUGACUGUAGUCUGUUGAAUAGUGUUUACCAUGGUGUUUCAUACCUGUGGUAUUUUAUACUUUGGGACGAUCAAUUUUAGUAUUAUUAGAUGUUUGUGUAAUCACUUGCUUAUUUAAAUAAAUUUUGAGUACUGCCUAACUGUCAGUAUAUGAAUAAAUUGCAUAUCAUUCUACAGUAA